UAGGGAAUCUUCGGCAAUGGACGAAAGUCUGACCGAGCAACGCCGCGUGAGUGAAGAAGGUUUUCGGAUCGUAAAACUCUGUUGUUAGAGAAGAACAAGGACGUUAGUAACUGAACGUCCCCUGACGGUAUCUAACCAGAAAGCCACGACUAACUACGUGCCAGCAGCCGCGGUAAUACGUAGGUGGCAAGCGUUGUCCGGAUUUAUUGGGCGUAAAGCGAGCGCAGGCGGUUUCUUAAGUCUGAUGUGAAAGCCCCCGGCUCAACCGGGGAAGGUCAUUGGAAACUGGGAGACUUGAGUGCAGAAGAGGAGAGUGGAAUUCCAUGUUUAGCGGUGAAAUGCGUAGAUAUAUGGAGGAACACCAGUGGCGAAGGCGGCUCUCUGGUCUGUAACUGACGCUGAGGCUCGAAAGCGUGGGGAGCAAACAGG
rnacentral:rRNA from 1 species